UGGCAUCCUAAACUGCUUGUCUUUAACUUCUACUUAAUUGGUCCUCUAUCAUAUACGCCACGAAAAACAUUGGACCGAAGAAAAACAACACGUAAAACAUGAUCCAUUCUAGAAAUCCGGUCCUCAAAUAGUUUAGAAUAAAUGACGAUAUUUGAUUGGACCGUUGGGACGGUCGAGUUGGGGAGCUGGUGGCAAUACUGAGCUGAUUAUGAUUCGACAUUCCCGAGGCGCUUUGUGCCGCUGUUUCAGCACGUCACAAUCUCUGUCUGCCUCUGCCCCUUACUGUGUAAUUCUGUAUUUGAGCAGGAAGAUCAGAGUGAUUCCUCUUAUGGGUUGGAUUUAGAUUCCCAAUUGGAUGCAUAUAAAGUAGAGAAAAGUGAAAGGACGAAAGAGGGGGAGAAGAUAGGCAGAGCAAAGAUGUGGGUGAGUUUUCAGUCUUUGUUGGACUUGACGGUAGCAGGGAUUUCUUUGAUGCUUGGUUUGGGCUUUUUUGCUUUCAUUGCUUCAAUCCUUUGCUCUGCCGCUUUCUUCCAAAAUGCCAAGGAGCCUUCUUGAUUCGUCCUUUCAUAUUGGUUAUGAACUGUAAUAAUUGGAGGUUAUGCUUCCCAGGGCAGUCCAGUUUAUCUUCGAUGACCAAGCUGAAUUGGCACUUCAAGAAGUUGCGCUAUGCAAUGACAUCCUAGAAUAGUGCUUAUAAAUGAAGGAUUCAUAACCAACCCUAUAUAAUUUGUUGUAAUUUUUGUAACUGCAUAGGGAGAGAUUCCGCCUGGAUUUUUCUACUGCUGUAAUUCAUUACAUGCGUUUGCGGCAUAAGCAGACUCUGUACAUCUCUUCUAUGUAUGACAAAGCGUUGGGGAUAA